AAUCAACGCUGGCGGCGUGCCUCAGACAUGCAAGUCGAACGCGAAAGUUCCCUUCGGGGGAUAAGUAGAGUGGCGUCCGGGUGAGUAACACGUAGGUAAUCUACCUUUGGGUGGGGAAGUAACAACCGGAAACGGUUGCUAAUACCGCAUAAUGCAGCGGCACCACAUGGUGACAGUUGUUAAAGCGGGGGAUCGCAAGACCUCGCGCCUAAAGAGGAGCCUGCGGCGGAUUAGCUAGUUGGAGGGUAACGGCCUACCAAGGCAACGAUCCGUAGCCGGCCUGAGAGGGCGGUCGGCCACACUGGAACUGAGACACGGUCCAGACUCCUACGGGAGGCAGCAGUGGGGAAUUUUGCGCAAUGGGCGAAAGCCUGACGCAGCAACGCCGUGUGGAGGAUGAA
rnacentral:rRNA from 1 species